rnacentral:ncRNA from 1 species
AAAUAUAAAUGGUUUAUUCGAGCCGUUUAUAACGCAGUGUUGACGUAUAUAAGAAAAAAACAGACCUCCCUUGAGCCUCAGAACCUGAAGGAAUAGGUCUAUCAGGAAUAUCAGAUGAGCAAGCCCUUUGAUGGGCAGCUUUUAUUACAGAGCCGGGGUGAUACCCCGG